AAGUCGUAACAAGGUCUCCGUUGGUGAACCAGCGGAGGGAUCAUUACUGAGUUACUACUCUUAACCCUUGUGAACAUUACUUGUGUUGCUUCGGCAGAUUUUCCCUGGGAGGGAAUUUGGCCUUCAGUGGUAAUCUGCCAGAGGCCUUUAAACUCGAACUUUCCUAUUUUCUGAGGACAUUUUAAAAGAUUAAAAACUUUCAGCAACGGAUCUCUUGGUUCUG
rnacentral:misc_RNA from 1 species